rnacentral:lncRNA from 1 species
UUUUAAUUUAAUUUAAUUUAUGUAUUUAUUUUGAGACAGAGUUUUGCUCUUGUUCUCCAGGCUGGAGUGCAAUGGCGCCAUCUCAGCUCACUGCAACGUCCACCUCCCGGGUUCAAGUGAUUCUCCUGCCUCACCCUCGGUGGUGUGUUCCUAGGAAUUUUUCCAUUUCAUAUAGAUUAUCCAAUUUGUUGGCAUACAAUUGUUCUUAUAAUCCUUUUUAUUUCUAUGGAAUCAGUAGUAAUGUCCCCACUUUCAUUUCUGAUUUUAGUAUUUUGUCUUUUCUAUUUUUUUCCUUAGUCCAUCUCACUGAAGGCUUGUCAACUUUGUUGAUCUUUUCAAAGAAACAAUUUUUGGUUUCAUUGAUUUUUCUCUAUUGUUUUUUCUAUUCUCUGUUCUGUAUAUUGCUCUAAUCUUUAUUAUUUCCUUCCUCCUGGCAGUUUUGGGUCUCAUUUGUUUUUCUUUUUCUAGUUCCUUAAGUUGUAAAGCUAGGUUGUUGACUUGGUAUCUUUCUUGUUUUUUUAAUGUAAGCAUUUACAGCUAUACAUUUCUCCCUUAGCACUGCUUUUGCUGCAUUCCAUGUUUUGGUAUGUUGUGAUUUUGUUUUUGUUUGUCUCUAAGGAUUUUUCUAAUAUUCCUUUAGUUUAUUCUUCCAUCUAAUGGUUGUUUAAAGUGUCUGUUUAAUUUCCACAAAUUUGUAAAUUUUCCGGUUUUACAUCUGUUACUGAUUUCUAACUUUAUCCUGUCAUAGUUGGAGAAGAUACUUUGUGUGAUAUAUAUCUUUUAAAAUCUAUUGAGACUUAAUUUUUGCCCAAACAUAUGGUCUAUCCUGGCAAAUGUCCCAUGUGCACUUCCAAACAUAUGCAUAUGUUCUUGUUGGGUAAAGUGUUCUUUAUAUGCCUGUUAGAUCUAGUUGGUUUAUUAUGCUGGUUAAGUCCUCUGUUGUCUUACUUAUCUUCUGUCUGGUUGGUCUAGCCAUUAUUGAGAGUGGGGUAUUGAAGUCCAACUACUAUUGUAGAACUGUCUAUUUCUUCCUUCAGUUUUUGCUUUAUAUAUUUUGCUUUAUAUAUUUUGAUGUCAUCAGGUGCAUAAAUGUGUAUGUGUUAUGUUUUCUUGCUGUUUUGAACAUUUUAUUAAUAUAUUAAUAUCCUUCUUUGUCUCUUGUAAUCUUUUUAUAAUCUGAAAUCUGUUUUUACCUGAUAUUAGUAUAACUACCCUUGCUCCCUUUUGGUUACUAUUUGUGUGAAAUAUCUUUUUCCAUUCUUUCACUUUCAUUCUACUUGUGUCUUUGAAUCUAAAGUAAGUCUCUUGUAGACAGCAUAUAGUUGGACCAUCUGUUUUUAUUCAUUCUGUCAAUCUCAGGUGUCUUUUGAUUGGAGAGUUUAAUCCAACUUACACUUAAUUACUGGCCGGGCGCGGUGGCUCACGCCUGUAAUCCCAGCACUUUGGGAGGCCGAGGCAGGCGGAUCAUGAGGUCAGGAGAUCGAGACCAUCCUGGCUAACAAGGUGAAACCGCAUCUCUACUAAAAAUACAAAAAAAAUUAGCUGCAUGUGGUGGGGGGCACCUGUAGCCCCAGCUACUCAGGAAGCUGAGGCAGGAGAAUGGCGUGAACCCGGGAGGCGGAGCUUGCAGUGAGAUGAGAUCACGCCACUGAACUCCAGCCUGGGUGACAGAGCAAGACUCCAUCUCAGAAAAAAAUAAAAUAAAUAAAAUAAAUAAAUAAAUAAAGUAAUUACUGAUUUGGAGGACUCAGUUCUGUCAUUUUGCUAUUUUUUUUCCACAUGCCUUAUAGCUUUUUUGUUCCUCAUUUUCUGCCUUACUAUCUUCUUUUGUAUUUAAUUUUUUGUAGUGAAAUAUUUAAAUUUCUUUCUAAUUUCUUUCUGCAUGUAUUCUAUAUCUGGUGUUUUUUUGUUUGUUUGUUCGUUUUUGUGGCUACCAUGGGGAUUACAUGUAACAUCCCAACAUUAUAAUGCUCUAAUUUGAAUUUAUACAGCUUCAGUUUAGUAACAUACAAAACCUCUGCUUCUUUACCAUUCUCUCCCCACCCCUUUUGGUUGUUGAUAUCACAGAAUCGUGUCUUUAUACAUUGUGUGCCCCAAAACAUAAAGUUAUAAUUAUUUUAAAUUUAUUAGUCUCUUACAUUAUGUAGAAAACAAAAUGUGAAGUACAAACCAAAGUUAUAAUAACAUUUAGACUAAUAAUUUCUUAAAUCACAUAGAAAAUAAAAAGUGGAGUUAUAAGCCAUUUUUACGAUAAUACUGGCUUUUAUGAUUUCUUAUGCGUUUGCCUUUAUUGAAAUCUUUAUUUCUUCAUACAGCUUUGAGUUACUGUCUAGUGUCUUUUCAUUUUGCCUUGCAGGACCCCUUUGAGCAUUUCUUGUAGGGUGGAUCUACUGGUAAUAAACUUUCUUAGCUUUGGUUAUCUUGAGAUGUCUUAAUUUCUCCUUCACUUUUGAAGGAUGCAUUUGCUGGAUGUAGGAUUCGUGGUUAACAUUUUUUUUUUCUUUUAGCACUUCAAAUAUAUUGGCCAGCUGCUUCCUGGACUCCAAAGUUUCUCAUGAGAAGUUCUCUGAUAAUCUUAAUUAGGAUCCCUUGUGUGUGACAAGUUGCUUUUUUCUUUCUGCUUUCAAGAUUCUCUCUUUGUCUUUCAAAAGUUUGAUUACAAUGUGUCUCAGAGUGGGUCUCUUUAGUUUAUUUUACUUCUUGGGUGUCUAUAUUCAUGUCUUGUAUCAAAUUUAUUAUGUGUAUAUAUUUGUGUAACCACCACCAAAAUCAAGAUAAAGAACAGCUUCAUCAUUGCAAGGCUCCCUUGUGCUACCCCUUUAUAGCCACAACCAGUCCCCCUUCCCCUCAUUCCUAAUUCUUGACAACAAUUAACGUGUUCUCCAUCUCUAUAAUUUUGUUAUUUAAGUAAUGUUAUAUAAAUGAAAUAAUACUGUAUGUAGCCUUUUGAGAUAGGCUUUUUUUUUUCAACUCAGCAUAAUUCCCAUGAGAUUCAUCUAGAUUGUUACACGUAUUAAUAGCCCAUUCCUUUUUAUGACUGAAUCCUAGUCCAUGGUAUGGAUAUACCAGUUUGCUUAACCACUCGCCCAUUGAAGUAUACUUGGGCUAUUUUCAGUUUUGAGAUGUUAUGAAUAAAGUGGCUAUAAACAUCUGAGCAUAGGUUUUGGGUGACUAUAACUUUUCAUAUCUCUGGGAUAAAUGCCCAAGAAUGUAAUUGCUGAUUUUAUUCUUUUUUAGAGAGUACCUUGGAUCAUCUUGGCUCUUUGCUCUUUCACAUAUAUUUUAGAAUUGGCUUGUCAAAAUUAUGAAAAACACUUUAAAGUUUUGAUAGAAAUGGCACUGAAUCUAUGAGACAUUUGGGUGAGAAUUUAGGAUAUUGAGACUUUCUAGCCAUUGAUAAUAUUUCUCUCUUUUUACUUAAUUCUUCUUAAUGUAUUUCAAUAAAGCAUCAUGAUCUUCUUUGUAUCAGUACUGCAAUUAUUCCCAGGUGCCCAUACCAGUCAGGAAAGACUGGUUGUGUUAUGGCAAUAAAACAACCAAAAAAGUUUAUUUCUUCCUCAUGCUACAUGUUCAUCAUGAGUCAGGGGGCUCUAUUCCACAUUUUAAUUUUUUUCUAUCUGUUUUUUCACCUUCUAAAAUCCUUAGAAUGUUCCACAUUUUCAUCAUUCUUACUUUGAGGCUCAGCCUGAAAGGGAAGCUACUGUAGAACAUUGCCAGUUGUGGAGGGAAAAGGGAACUUGGAGAAGCAUGCACUGGCUCUUAGGCUUCUGGCUGGGAGUCUGUCACUUCUGCUCACUCUGCAUUGGCUAAAGCAAGUCUAAGGCUAGCACUUCUCAUAUCAUGUCUCUCUCUCUCUCUCUCUCUCUCUCUCUGUGUGUGUGUGUGUGUGUGUGUGUGUGCGUUUCUGUCUCUAUCUCUCUCCACACGUACACACACCCUCUCCAAGCAUCUUGGGAGACCUGAGCCAACACAUAAGAAGUCUAGCUACCCUGAAGCCACCAUACUAGAGAGAUCAUGUGUAAAGACCUCACAGAAAUAGCGAGAGAUGCCUCCAAAACUGAGCUGGCAAGUAUUCUCUCUUUUUCUAUCGUCCACAAAAACUCCUAUAAGAUUGGAAUGAUCUUCUCCUUGAAAAUUUCAUAUAACUCACCUGGAAAAUAUCAGGGCUUGGUAUUUUCUUUGCGGGAACACUUUAAAUACUGAUUGAAUUUCUUUAAUUAUUAUAGAGCUAUUCAUUCUGCCUUUCUAGUCUUGAAUCUGUUUUGGUAAAUUAUAUUUUCUAGGACGUUUUCCAUAUCAUCUAAGUUUUGAAUUAUUAGCAUUGAUUUGUUUAUACUUUUAUGUUUAAAUGUUCACUAUAACCAUAGUUAUAGAUUUUUAUCUCGUUUUCAGUUUUCAGUAUUGCUUAUCUGUACAUGCUGUUUAUCUCUGUCUCUUAAAUUUUUCCAGAAGUCUUUCAACUUCAAAGAAUCAAUUUUGGCUUUGUUGAUCCUCCGUUUUCAGUUUCAUUACUUUCUCUACUUAUUGUUAUUUUUUUCUUCCUACUACUUUCCUCAUGGUUAUUCUGCUGUUCUUUUUCUGAUUUCCCAAGUUGGAGAUUUAGCUCAUUAUUUUUAUUCUCUCUACUUUUUAAAUUAUAAGCAUUUAAAGUUAUUAAUUUCCAACCUUUUCGGUGUUGAAGUCUUAAUUUCGGCAAUUUUGUUUUUUAUUUCUACAAUUUAUGUUUGACAUUUUUUCAUAUCAAGGUCAUUUUUAUAGUCUUGUUCCUCUAUCAUGUUUUAAAAUCUUCUUAAAAACCUGUCAAUUCCUCAUUUGUUUUACUUCAUAUGGUCACGUCAAUGCUGAAGUCUUUGCGAGUCUGAUUUUGCUGUUAAUUUCUCUGCUGACUUUCUUUCUUUUUCUUUUUCUUUUUUUUUGAGAUGGAGUCUCGCUCUGUCGCCCAGGCUGGAGUGCAGUGGCGCUAUCUCAGCUCACUGCAAGCUCCACCUCCCAGGUUCACGCCAUUCUCCUGCCUCAGCCUCCCGAGUAGCUGGGACUACAGGCGCCUGCCACCACGCCCGGCUAAUUUUGUUUUUGUAUUUUUAGUAGAGGCAGGGUUUCACUGUGUUAGCCAGGAUGGUCUCGAUUUCCUGACCUCGUGAUCUGCCCCCCUCGGCCUCCCAAAGUGCUGGGAUUACAGGCGUGAGCCACUGCGCCCGGCCUCUCUGCUGACUUUCUCACAUGGUGUCUUUUCCUCAUAUGUAUCCUGUAAUUUUCAUUGUGAUCUCAUGUUUGUUGGAACUGCACCUGUGAAUAAUCUUCAAAAUUUACAUUAAAGGUGUAUUCCAUUAGAAAGGAUUUGUUUUUCCUCUGCUAAGUACAUUAGGGACACACCAAACUUGGGACCACUUUACAUUCUUGGCUUGGAAUUGUUUUGACCAAACAGGUAGCAUGAAUUUUGGCACCAAUGCUUUGUGAAGGACAACUUAAUGCUUAUGAGUUAUUUUGGGGGAGAUUUUAUUUCAUUUUAUUCAGAGGUAUGUCCUUCUCCUUUAUGAGACAGGCUUUUCUUUCUAGUUCAUUCUUUCACUGAGAGGAUAGCCCUUU